rnacentral:rRNA from 1 species
UACGGGGGGAGCAAGCGUUGUUCGGAUUUACUGGGCGUAAAGCGCACGUAGGCGGAUUGUUAAGUCAGGGGUGAAAUCCCGAGGCUCAACCUCGGAACUGCCUUUGAUACUGGCAAUCUCGAGUCCGGAAGAGGAGAGUGGAAUUCCUGGUGUAGCGGUGAAAUGCGUAGAUAUCUGGAGGAACACCGGUGGCGAAGGCGGCAUCCUGGACCGGCAUUGACGCUGAGGAGCGAAAGCCAGGGGAGCAAACGGG